rnacentral:rRNA from 1 species
UGAGCAACCUGCCCCUGGCUCUGGGAUAACCCCGGGAAACCGGAGCUAAUACCGGAUACGAGACCGAUUGGCAUCUUUACGGUCUGGAAAGUUUUUCGGCCAGGGAUGGGCUCGCGGCCUAUCAGCUUGUUGGUGGGGUAACGGCUCACCAAGGCGACGACGGGUAGCUGGUCUGAGAGGACGACCAGCCACACUGGGACUGAGACACGGCCCAGACUCCUACGGGAGCAGCA